UACGUAGGGGGGCAAGCGUUGUCCGGAUUUAUUGGGCGUAAAGCGCGUGUAGGUGGCCAAGUAGGUCCGCUGUGAAAACUUGAGGCUCAACCUCAAGCUGUCGGUGGAAACCCCUUGGCUAGAGUCCGGAAGAGGAGAGUGGAAUUCCUGGUGUAGCGGUGAAAUGCGCAGAUAUCAGGAAGAACACCAACGGCGAAAGCACUCUGCUGGGCCGACACUGACACUGAGAGACUAAAGCUAGGGGAGCAAAUGGG
rnacentral:rRNA from 1 species